rnacentral:rRNA from 2 species
UAGAGUUUGAUCAUGGCUCAGAUUGAACGCUGGCGGCAGGCCUAACACAUGCAAGUCGAGCGGAUGAAGAGAGCUUGCUCUCUGAUUCAGCGGCGGACGGGUGAGUAAUGCCUAGGAAUCUGCCUGGUAGUGGGGGACAACGUCUCGAAAGGGACGCUAAUACCGCAUACGUCCUACGGGAGAAAGCAGGGGACCUUCGGGCCUUGCGCUAUCAGAUGAGCCUAGGUCGGAUUAGCUAGUUGGUGAGGUAAUGGCUCACCAAGGCGACGAUCCGUAACUGGUCUGAGAGGAUGAUCAGUCACACUGGAACUGAGACACGGUCCAGACUCCUACGGGAGGCAGCAGUGGGGAAUAUUGGACAAUGGGCGAAAGCCUGAUCCAGCCAUGCCGCGUGUGUGAAGAAGGUCUUCGGAUUGUAAAGCACUUUAAGUUGGGAGGAAGGGCAGUAAGCGAAUACCUUGCUGUUUGACGUACCGACAG